UGGCCGAUACCUUAGUGCUUCCUGAAGGG
rnacentral:piRNA from 1 species